UCCAACGUGAUGCGCUUAGCUGGGUCGUAUGCCAUUAAUUUCUCCAGGAGAUUGAAUAGCUGCUGGUGGUCCUCGCUUUGGCACACCAUGUAACGCUACAGGAGGGGUAAGGGCAACAAUUUCAAAAUAAACAUAUGCAUAUAAAUUAACACCACCGCACAUUCUUUUAUGUUGGAUGCUUGCUCGAGGUAAGUUUGAGUUACCUGACAACUUGCUCUAACAGAUACCAGUUUCCAUUCCGAUCCUGACUAAAAUUUUAGCUGCUAUUAGUGAUAGGUUCUGACAUCAAUAUUUAGUGAAUAUACAUGUAGUGUGGCUAGAAUAAAAAGUGCAUUUCAAAUCAUAGCUUCUAUAAGGAAUGCACGACACUUUUUCACACAAAUA